rnacentral:rRNA from 1 species
AUUGAACGCUGGCGGCAUGCCUUACACAUGCAAGUCGAACGGUAACAGGUCUUCGGAUGCUGACGAGUGGCGCACGGGUGAGUAAUACAUCGGAACGUGCCCGAUCGUGGGGGAUAACGGAGCGAAAGCUUUGCUAAUACCGCAUACGAUCUACGGAUGAAAGCAGGGGACCGCAAGGCCUUGCGCGGACGGAGCGGCCGAUGGCAGAUUAGGUAGUUGGUGGGAUAAAAGCUUACCAAGCCGACGAUCUGUAGCUGGUCUGAGAGGACGACCAGCCACACUGGGACUGAGACACGGCCCAGACUCCUACGGGAGGCAGCAGUGGGGAAUUUUGGACAAUGGGCGAAAGCCUGAUCCAGCCAUGCCGCGUGCAGGAUGAAGGCCUUCGGGUUGUAAAAUGCUUUUGUACGGAACGAAAAGACUCUUUCUAAUAAAGAGGGUCCAUGACGGUACCGUAAGAAUAAGCACCGGCUAACUACGUG